rnacentral:rRNA from 1 species
CCAGACUCCUACGGGAGGCAGCAGUGAGGAAUAUUGGUCAAUGGGCGGGAGCCUGAACCAGCCAUGCCGCGUGAAGGCGAGUGCCCUACGGGCGUUAAACUUCUUUUGUGCGGGAGCAAUAAGGGCCACGUGUGGCCCGAUGAGAGUACCGCACGAAUAAGCAUCGGCUAACUCCGUGCCAGCAGCCGCGGUAAUACGGGGGAUGCGAGCGUUAUCCGGAUUCAUUGGGUUUAAAGGGUGCGCAGGCGGGCCUUAAGGCGGGGGGGAAAACCGGGGGGCCCACCCCCGCCGAGCCGUCGGAACUGGGGGCCUUGAGUGCGGCGGAGGCAUGCGGAAUGCGCGGUGUAGCGGUGAAAUGCAUAGAUAUCGCGCAGAACCCCGAUUGCGAAGGCAGCGUGCCGUGCCGCCACUGACGCUGAGGCACGAAAGCGCGGGGAUCGAACAGGAUUAGAUACCCCGGUAAC